AUACGGAGGGGGCUAGCGUUGUUCGGAAUUACUGGGCGUAAAGCGCGCGUAGGCGGCUUAUCAAGUUAGGCGUGAAAGGCCUGGGCUCAACCCGGGAACUGCGCUUAAUACUGGUAGGCUUGAGUCCGGGAGAGGAUGGUGGAAUUCCCAGUGUAGAGGUGAAAUUCGUAGAUAUUGGGAAGAACACCGGUGGCGAAGGCGGCCAUCUGGACCGGUACUGACGCUGAGGCGCGAAAGCGUGGGGAGCAAACAGGAUUAGAAACCCCAGUAGUCC
rnacentral:rRNA from 1 species